rnacentral:rRNA from 1 species
AGAGUUUGAUCAUGGCUCAGGAUGAACGCUGGCUACAGGCUUAACACAUGCAAGUCGAGGGGCAGCAUUUCAGUUUGCUUGCAAACUGGAGAUGGCGACCGGCGCACGGGUGAGUAACACGUAUCCAACCUGCCGAUAACUCGGGGAUAGCCUUUCGAAAGAAAGAUUAAUACCCGAUGGUAUAAUCAGACCGCAUGGUCUUGUUAUUAAAGAAUUUCAGUUAUCGAUGGGGAUGCGUUCCAUUAGGCAGUUGGUGAGGUAACGGCUCACCAAACCUUCGAUGGAUAGGGGUUCUGAGAGGAAGGUCCCCCACAUUGGAACUGAGACACGGUCCAAACUCCUACGGGAGGCAGCA